UACGAUCUGUGUAUUUGGGUUGAGGGAAGUCUUUACAGGAGUUAAGGGUAUGGUAAGACCUUGAAAGACAAAGCAUCUCACCAGGCAGAGAUGGGAGGGAUUCCAGGCCCAACUGUGAACAUGAGGGGAAAACAGCUAAAGAGCAGAAAAGCAAAGUACCCAAAGUCCACUUAUGUUCUGUUAAACCUUUCAGGAAAAGUGGUGGGAUGGCCAGCUUCAUCUUUGAGAAAGCCCCUUUCUUCGGUUCACUGGUGGUCCUCACAUUAUGGCACCACAGGGACGAGGCUCCCAGACCCUCUGCCAUCCUUUACCACCUCAUCCCCUUUCUCUGCAGCAGGAAGAAGAGCAAUGCUUCCCCAACUCUACAGGUCCCCUCCUUGCUUGACCUGCCCUCCAGGACCCCCCUACACCCAGCCUUUCGAUGGAAGCGGGCCGAGAUGCAGGCCCCGACGAGGGGAAGGUGUCCCCUAGGAAGAAAGGAGUCUGAAGAGAGGUGAUGGAGUAGGGCAGCCACAUUUGGGGAAAACUCCUGGAGAAUCAAUGAGAGUUGAUGAGAGGAAGAGGAGGCCACAGCAGGAAGGCCUCCUAGUUAACACUGAGAAAUCUGCGGUCACUGGAGGGCAGAGCCUCAGGUGGUUACAGAGUGAGUCUGAACACAACAGAACCUUUCUUGUUGCAGAGGACUUCAGAGGGACCGGCCCCACCCUGGCACCGGCACCAGGGAGGCGCUGGCACAUGCUGAACAGGACUUACAGAAAGACCAUUCACAGAGCAGGUGGUUUUCAGCUUUAACUGCUCUUAAUGCCCCUGACUUUUAGGGCUCUAGUUGUUAGAAAUGUAACUGUGUGUGGUGGGGUAUCCCUAGUUCCCCCCCUCACUCACUAGUGAAGAUGUACCUCCACUGCCAUUAUUAAUGAAAUCCAAGGAACAGGGAAGUUAUAAUGAAUGACUGAUUAUAAGGGUAAAAUUCCCCUCAUUGAUCAUCAAAAAAUAAGGUAUUUAACCACUCCUGCUCUUUGCUGUACUAUACAAACUGGGGUAUUUGUUACUCAUUUCAUUCAGUUCACUUACUUGAGCAGAGGUCCAUGAACAUAAGCCAGAGUUUGUUUUGGGCUCUCAAAACUGCCAGGGAAAUAUAUAAAAUGAGUGAAUUUCCAAAUGAUGUCCAUCUCAGUGAUGGCAGAGGACCCAUAUUAUUACAUAAUUUAUAAAUAAACUAUUAAACUAAGCUAAUUAUCUUUUGACAUUGCUAAUACAAUUAUUUGUCUCCCAACCUAGGAAAUUUACAUUAGGCCCAAUGCCACUAACAAGGAGACUCUCCCCGGCCUGUUUUACUUGUAUCCAGAGAAGAACCUGGCACGUAAGGGGCACUCGGUUGUUUGAUCAGGACUGGGAUGUACUUGGUACUAGUCAGCUAGACCUCAUACAACCUUUUAUAGAUGCCAAAGCCACAUUCGACAUACAUACAGAUUCUGUAUGGGAAAAAGUUGUUUCAGCAACCUUCAAAGUUAAUAAUAAAAAGAAAACUGCUACUUAGAGGCAUAUGAAACAAAAUUCAUUUUAAUCUGUGU